rnacentral:rRNA from 2 species
UAGGGAAUCUUCGGCAAUGGGGGGAACCCUGACCGAGCAACGCCGCGUGAGUGAAGAAGGUUUUCGGAUCGUAAAGCUCUGUUGUUAAGGAAGAACGAGUGUGAGAAUGGAAAGUUCAUGCUGUGACGGUACUUAACCAGAAAGGGACGGCUAACUACGUGCCAGCAGCCGCGGUAAUACGUAGGUCCCGAGCGUUGUCCGGAUUUAUUGGGCGUAAAGCGAGCGCAGGCGGUUAGAAAAGUCUGAAGUGAAAGGCAGUGGCUCAACCAUUGUAGGCUUUGGAAACUGUUUAACUUGAGUGCAGAAGGGGAGAGUGGAAUUCCGUGUGUAGCGGUGAAAUGCGUAGAUAUAUGGAGGAACACCGGUGGCGAAAGCGGCUCUCUGGUCUGUAACUGACGCUGAGGCUCGAAAGCGUGGGGAGCGAACAGG